GACGAACGCUGGCGGCGUGCUUAACACAUGCAAGUCGAACGGUGAUCUUGAGAGCUUGCUCUUGGGUGAUCAGUGGCGAACGGGUGAGUAACACGUGAGUAACCUGCCCCCUGACUCUGGAAUAACCUUCGGGAAACCGAAGCUAAUACCGGAUAUGACACAGAGCCGCAUGGUUUCUGUGUGGAAAGUUUUUCGGUUGGGGAUGGACUCGCGGCCUAUCAGCUUGUUGGUGAGGUAAUGGGCUCACCAAGGCGACGACGGGUAGCCGGCCUGAGAGGGCGACCGGCCACACUGGGAACUGAGACACGGCCCAGACUCCUACGGGAGGCAGCAGUGGGGAAUAUUGCACAAUGGGCGAAAGCCUGAUGCAGCGACGCCGCGUGAGGGAUGAAGGCCUUCGGGUUGUAAACCUCUUUCAGUAGGGAAGAAGCGCAAGUGACGGUACCUACAGAAGAAGCACCGGCUAACUACGUG
rnacentral:rRNA from 1 species